rnacentral:rRNA from 1 species
CUCAGUUCGGAUCGGAGUCUGCAACCCGACUCCGUGAAGCUGGAUUCGCUAGUAAUCGCGCAUCAGCCAUGGCGCGGUGAAUACGUUCUCGGGCCUUGUACACACCGCCCGUCAAGCCAUGGAAGCCGGGGGCGCUUGAAGUGCGUUGCCGCAAGGCGCGCCCUAGAGCGAAACCGGUGACUGGGGCUAAGUCGUAACAAGGUAAC